UCUGUUCCUCCUGGUGACCUUUGCAGCGUAAGCAAUUGCCGGUGCAGAAAUUAACUCAAGGCGAAGAUCCGGGAUAAUAUUUAGUGUAACCAUCAGCGGGAAGGCGCAGUCGAUGGUUUUGGAAUCACUCAUAGACGAGUACAGCCGUAAUUCAUUUCUUCCACCAAAGUUAUUUGACGAUUUUAUCCGACAUAUUCCCAUAUUACGGAACUUAUUUACGAGCACCUUAUCGCAUUCGGAAGAAAUCACGCUUCUUCUUGAAUAUCCAUCGCCGUCGCUUUUCAAGCGGUAUUGGAUAUCGGGGUACUAAAUGCUUAGUUUAAGUUUUCGUUUGCAUUUAACGUGAUUCCAUAUAAGCACAAGUUCGGGAAUUCAUGCUUUUCUUAUUGGGUAUAUCCGGAUUUUGGAUAAUCCACUACGGGAAAUAUUCCUGUGUUAUCAAGAAGGAUCGGAAACCGCGGUUGCAUUAGAUUACCUGAUGAAAAUGUGAUUUUAUUUUGUUUUUUAUUUUUGUGCAAUAGUACGAAGGUGAAUAACUGUAGUUACAGUGAACAGCAAUAAAACAGUAAUAAGAAAGGU